rnacentral:ncRNA from 1 species
CUACGGACUUAGAUAACUGAGCCUUGAUGGAGAAAUCCAGCAAGUGACUGCUCUCAAACUCAGGGAAACCUAAAUCUGGUAACAGACAUGGCAAUCCUGAGCCAAGCCGAAAAAAGAAAGAUAGAAGACACAAGAUAAAAGAUAAAAAGCUAAAAGAUAAAAAGCUUUUUUCUUUCUUCCCUCUUCAGUCUUGACUCUUUUUAAGGAAGGUGCAGAGGCCCGACGGGAGCUACCCUAACGUAAAGUCGAGGGUAAAGGGAGGGUCCAAUUCUCAAAGCCUGGUUGGGU